rnacentral:tRNA from 1 species
CGGGGAUUAGCUCAGCCUGGUAGAGCGCUUGCCUUGGGCGCAAGAGGUCGUCGGUUCGAAUCCGGCAUCCCCGACCA